UCUAAACCUGCAACUUCACAUCAACUUUUACCAUUUUCAAGAGCUUCCAAGCCAGGAAUGUUAGAGCUGGAAGGAACAUGAUAAAAAGAAGGAAAGUGAAAGUGAACAGUUUACACAGCCAGCAGCACAGUAACCGGCAAGGGGCAAACAAACCCAUAGAUGCUUCCUGAAUGAAACAAAUGAGAUACAGGGAAAAGAUUAAAACCAAGAACCUCUGACUUCCAGACCACUUGACUCUGCUGCCUGACCCUCUUCUUAAAUCCAUGCUGCCUGAGUAAACGUCCAGGCUCCACAUAUUUAGACCACAUCGGGAAACUAGACUUCAUACUGAGACUUACGUUCCCACAUAUAUGGAUUGUGGGCAAUCAGAAGCUCAAAGUGGAAGCUCUGAAGAUGGGAUCCUUUCUGCAAGCUGCUGUGAUACGAGCUGCUGUAAAAACGGAGGCCUCCAGACCAACAGCCAGGGAGUAGAGGAGAGACUCACAUUAGUGGCCACUGGACCAGUGGGAGGAAGAGCUUAUGGGAAGAGACUUCUUUGGCUCAUCUCAUGUUACAUCUUGGAGUGACCUCAAAGGCCCCAUCCCAGAAGGCACAGCCACAAAAAACGUGGCCUCCACCAGCAUGGAUCCCUGAAUGUAAUGGGAUCAGAGCCUCCUGCCCACACCUGGAGGUCAGAAUAAUACUGGAAGUCCUCCAUCUAUUUCUCAUCAUCUCACUCUUGAGUGUGCACUGCCAACAAUGUCCCUGAAUGAAGAGCCACUGAUUACAUCUAAGUUUUGGCUGUUGAAAGGAAGUUCUACGUAUAAGGAAGUGCAUUGGACUGACAGUCAGGUCAGCAUCUGGAUUGUGCUGUGAGCUCUCGUAUGUAUCACCUCAUGUGAUCUUCGUGAUCACUUUGCAAAAUGUGGAUUUUGCAAAAUGAGGCCACAAAUAGUCGCCUUUCUCCAAUUUUCUCAUUUCUUUGACUUUACUUUGUGACUUUUUGGAUUGUUGUUUACGGUAUGCUACCUAAAGUUUUUCUCACUUCAGAGAAGAGGAAGCUAGCUAAUGCUGUCAGUGUCACAGGACACGUCAUGCUUACAAUGAUAAGGUUAAUAUGUGGCACACCUCUGACUUGAACAAGGCCUGUUUGUUUACAAAGUCAAUGGUUACACUCUUACCCUAGAGUUCUAGUCUCCAUUCUGCUGCCAAUUACCCGAUGACCUAUGUGACUUUAGACAUGUGAAAUAAC
rnacentral:lncRNA from 1 species